rnacentral:rRNA from 1 species
CGGGGUCUCAUCAGGGUACCGUCAUCAUCGUCCCGGAUCGAAAAGUGCUUUACAAUCCGAAGACCUUCUUCACACACGCGGCAUUGCGGGAUCAGGGUUGCCCCCAUUGUGCAAUAUUCCCCACUGCUGCCUCCCGUAAGAGUCGACACUGCUGCCUCCCGUAGGAGUAGAAAAUGGGAAGCGGAAGAGGAAAAAGUCGGGAAAGCAGAACCAAUCAGGGGAGAAGGUGAGGGCGCCAGGAAAAAAACGGGUAAAGAGGGGCAUGGGGUAAAAUAAAAUUUUGACGAGCUUGUUUUUGGGGGGUCGGGGGUAAAAAAUUUUACUUUUUUUGUUUUCACGCUCACAUGCAGAGUCGCCCUAGUGCCGCGAGUGCCCUGGUGUCGCUUGGUUGUGGCCUUUUGAUCCGCUUCCAUGGGGUGUGGGCUCGACAAAUGUCUCUUUUGGGGGGGCACAAAAAGGCUGCAUAGGAAAGGGGUUCGCGUGGCGCGUUGUUUUCCCCUUGACCCCAGCCAUCUUUUUCCGGUCUUUCCUUCGCNNAGGUUUCCNUCCUCCCCUUCUUUGCUUUGUUUCGCUAAAUAAUACACAUAAUCUUAUAUUAUUUUUUUUCCUUUU